rnacentral:tRNA from 1 species
AGGGAUAUAGCUCAGUUAAGAGAGUGCUUGCCUUACAUGCACAAGGCCCUGGGUUUGAUCCCCAGUACCACAA